UACAGAGGGCUCAAGCGUUGUUCGGAUUCAUUGGGCGUAAAGGGUGCGUAGGUGGCGGGGUAAGUCAGGUGUGAAAUCUCGGGGCUCAACCCCGAAACUGCACUUGAUACUGCCUUGCUCGAGUACUGGAGAGGAGAUUGGAAUUUACGGUGUAGCAGUGAAAUGCGUAGAUAUCGUAAGGAAGACCAGUGGCGAAGGCGAAUCUCUGGGCAGUAACUGACGCUGAGGAGCGAAAGCGUGGGGAGCGAACAGG
rnacentral:rRNA from 1 species